rnacentral:rRNA from 1 species
AGAGUUUGAUCAUGGCUCAGAUUGAACGCUGGCGGCAUGCUUUACACAUGCAAGUCGAACGGUAACAGGUCUUCGGAUGCUGACGAGUGGCGAACGGGUGAGUAAUGCAUCGGAACGUGCCCAGUCGUGGGGGAUAACGCAGCGAAAGCUGUGCUAAUACCGCAUACGAUCUAUGGAUGAAAGCGGGGGAUCGCAAGACCUCGCGCGAUUGGAGCGGCCGAUGUCAGAUUAGCUAGUUGGUGGGGUAAAGGCCCACCAAGGCGACGAUCUGUAGCUGGUCUGAGAGGACGACCAGCCACACUGGGACUGAGACACGGCCCAGACUCCUACGGGAGGCAGCAGUGGGGAAUUUUGGACAAUGGGCGCAAGCCUGAUCCAGCAAUGCCGCGUGCAGGAAGAAGGCCUUCGGGUUGUAAACUGCUUUUGUACGGAACGAAAAGGUCUGGGUUAAUACCCUGGGCUCAUGACGGUACCGUAAGAAUAAGCACCGGCUAACUACGUGCCAGCAGCCGCGGUAAUACGUAGGGUGCAAGCGUUAAUCGGAAUUACUGGGCGUAAAGCGUGCGCAGGCGGUUUUGUAAGACAGGCGUGAAAUCCCCGGGCUCAACCUGGGAAUGGCGCUUGUGACUGCAAAGCUGGAGUGCGGCAGAGGGGGAUGGAAUUCCGCGUGUAGCAGUGAAAAUGCGUAGAUAUGCUGAGG